GUUGGUAGUCAUAUACAUGUAUGGUAUUUUGGUUCCAUAUUUUUUUUUUUGGAUACACUGUAUCAUGUGUAUAUCAGUUUUUUUUUAAUAUUUUUUCUUUUAUGCUAGAAUUGUACAUGAAGGUUGCACCACCCUGACACAGGUUUAUUUUUCAAUGUAUGUAUUGUGUUUUGUUGCUUGCUGUUAAUCAUAUUUGUUUAUUUGUAGCUUUUGUAUAUAAAUCAAACUGUCAUCACUGUAGGGCUUCUCGUCUGAUCUUUUUUUUACAUUGACAGUGUUGCGUGCAAGGCUGAACCCUUUAUAUAGGGUGCUCAUUAUGAAGUAUUAGUUUUGGUCAUUGUUGAAGGGUGUGGAGUAACCUAUUAUAUAGCUUACAAGCACAUCACUUGGUCUACAUGGUCUAUGGUUGAUGGUUGUCUCAUGGAAAUUCAUACCACAUCUCCUUAUUCAAAUUAAUGAAAACCAUGAAAAUGUG
rnacentral:lncRNA from 1 species